AGUCUAUGCCUCUGGAGCCGAUACUCAGCCCUCUGCAACCAUGGCUGUGCUGGCGGCACUUCUGCGCGGCGGCGCCCGCAGCCGCAGCCCCCUGCUCCGGAGGCUGGUGCAGGAAAUAAGAUAUGUGGAACGGAGUUAUGUAUCAAAACCCACUUUGAAGGAAGUGGUCAUAGUAAGUGCUACAAGGACACCCAUUGGAUCUUUUUUAGGCAGCCUUUCCUUGCUGCCAGCCACUAAGCUUGGUUCCAUUGCAAUUCAGGGAGCCAUUGAAAAGGCAGGGAUUCCAAAAGAAGAAGUGAAAGAAGCAUACAUGGGUAAUGUUCUACAAGGAGGUGAAGGACAAGCCCCUACAAGGCAGGCAGUAUUGGGUGCAGGUACCUGGAAGACAUUUUUGCUUUUAUACUUAAAAUAUGUAAAAGGGGCUGGGUGCGGUGGCUCACGCCUGUAAUUCCAGCACUUUGGGAGGCCGAGGCGGGUGGAUCAUGAGGUCAAGAGAUGGAGACCAU
rnacentral:sRNA from 1 species